AUUGAACGCUGGCGGCAGGCCUAACACAUGCAAGUCGAGCGAGCGGCGGACGGGUGAGUAAUGUAUGGGGACUGCCCGAUAGAGGGGGAUAACUACUGGAAAGGGUGGCUAAUACCGCAUACUAUCGGAUAACCCAUAUGGGAUUAGCUAGUAGGGGGGGUAAAGGCUCACCAAUGCGACGAUCUCUAGCUGGUCUGAGAGGAUGAUCAUCAACACUGGGACUGAGAAACGGCCCAGACUCCAAGGGAGGCAGCAGUGGGGAAUAUUGCACAAUGGGCGCAAGCAUGAUGCAGCCAUGCCGCGUGUAUGAUGAAGGCCUGAGGGUUGUAAAGUACUUGCGGCGGGGAGGCGUUAGCCGCAGAAAAAGCACCGGCUAACUCCGUGUCAGCAGCCGCGGUAAUAC
rnacentral:rRNA from 1 species